rnacentral:rRNA from 1 species
AGUGAACGCUGGCGGUAGGCCUAACACAUGCAAGUCGAACGGCAGCACAGUAAGAGCUUGCUCUUACGGGUGGCGAGUGGCGGACGGGUGAGGAAUACAUCGGAAUCUACUUUUUCGUGGGGGAUAACGUAGGGAAACUUACGCUAAUACCGCAUACGACCUACGGGUGAAAGCAGGGGAUCUUCGGACCUUGCGCGAUUGAAUGAGCCGAUGUCGGAUUAGCUAGUUGGCGGGGUAAAGGCCCACCAAGGCGACGAUACGUAGCUGGUCUGAGAGGAUGGUCAGCAACACGGGAACGGAGACAGGGUCCAGGCUCCUAAGGGAGGCAGCAGUGUGGAAUAGUGGACAAUGGGCGCGAGCCUUGUACAACCAUAGCGAGUGUGUUAAGACGACCUUCGGUUUGUAAAGCCCUUUUUUGGGGAAAAAAACGCAGCAGCUUAAUACCCCGCUUUUGUGACGGUACCCAAAGAAUAAGCACCGGCUAACUUCGUG